UCAAUGUCUUUGAGGGAGGGAAAAAAGGGACAGUAAUUAUUUUACGGCUACCAACUUCUGCUUCCACUCAGCUGUGAAAAAGUGAAUAAAAUAAAUAAAUAAAUAUUACUUAAUUCGAGUGUUUUUUUAAUUUGUAAAAUGAUUUGUAUUAAAAAUGAAUAAAACGCACUUCAUUUACUAAAAAGAUUUGCAUUUAAAAUACCCUUAACUGAAAAUACAAGAUAUACCUACACCUACUUCUUUAAAAACAAUUUUAAAAUAAAUACAAGAUGGCCAAAUUCAAUUAAAAGCAAAGUGAAAUAAUAUCAAUUUUAUUUUUUCGAUUGAGUUUUUCGAUUGAUGCAGUCAGAUAUGUCAAGAAAAUCAUUAGAGUUAACACUGUCGUCUUCUUCAAUUGAUUUAUGUGGAAAUUUAGACGACAAUCAGCAACUUUUUGAGGCGUGUAAAACGGGUGAUUUAAUUAAAGUUAAAAGGCUUGUUAAUUCAAAAACUGUAAAUGCCCGAGAUUUGAGUGGAAGAAAAUCUACUCCUUUGCAUUUUGCAAGUGGAUAUGGAAGACGAGAUGUAGUAGAAUUUCUGUUAGCAAACGGAGCUAACUAUUUAUCAAAAGAUGAUGGAGGCCUGAAUCCCUUACACAACGCUUCUUCGUUUGGUCAUGCUGACGUAGUUCGAUUACUGCUUUCAGCUGGUGCAAACCCUAAUACUCGAGAUAACUGGAAUUAUUCACCAUUACAUGAAGCAGCAAGCAAAGGAAAAUGUGAUGUUUGUAUAGCACUUUUACAACAUGGAGGAGAUCCGACAUUAAGAAAUUCAGAAAAUAAGACACCAUUAGACAUCGCUGAUGCUUCCGUUAUUCCAGUAUUAACUGGUGAUUAUCGAAAAGAUGAACUUCUUGAAGCUGCAAGAUUAGGAAUUGAAGAUAAACUAUUAGCACUCUUAACUCCGAUAAAUGCAAACUGUCAUGCAGCUGAUGGGCGGCGAAGCACUCCUCUUCAUUUGGCUUCAGGUUAUAACAGAAUAAGAAUUGUUCAGAUAUUGCUUCAAAAUGGAGCUAACGUUCACGCUAAAGACAAAGGUGGGCUUGUUCCAUUACACAAUGCAGCCAGUUAUGGUCAUUUUGAAGUAACAGAAUUACUAAUCAAAUAUGGGUGCAACGUUAAUGCAACAGAUCUUUGGGCAUUUACACCUCUUCACGAAGCCGCAAGCAAAUCUCGUACAGAAGUGUGCAGUUUGUUACUCAGUAAAGGUGCAGACCCUACUCUACUCAACUGUCAUAACAAAUCAGCGAUAGAUGUAGCUCCAACUCGUGAAUUACAAGAAAGAAUUGCAUAUGAAUAUAAGGGAUACUGUUUGCUAGAUUCAAUAAAACAAGGUGAUAUGUCCCGUAUUAAAAAAUUUUUACAGUCAGAUACAAUAAACUUUGCUCAUAAUUAUACGGGUGAUACUGCAGUACAUGCAGUUACUGAUUGUGUUUCGCAAAGGAGAAAACAAAUUUUGGAGAUGUUAAUUCGGAAAGGUGCUCUUUUAAACGAGAGAAAUAAAGAUUUCGUUACACCAUUACAUAUAUGUGCUAAAAAUUCAGAAUUGCUAGAUAUAAUGGACAUAUUGCUUCAUUCUGGCGCCAAGCCAAAUAUUUUAGAUGGAUUAGGCCAAACUGCGCUACAUAUAGCAGCAAAGUCAGAUAAUGUGCCUGCUUGUCGCUUAUUACUAUCAUUCUCUGUCGAUUUAAAUGUUGUAUCCUUACAAGGCUAUAUCGCAGCACAAUUAGCAACAGAAAACACAUUAAAAGUUCUACAAGAUCCUCCAUCCGAUACAAUAGAUAUAGAAUGCCAGCUAUUAGAAGCUUCAAAGGCUGGGGAUAUUGACACAGUGAGACGAAUAGUACAAUCUCACCCUCAUACCGUUAAUUGCAGAGACCUCGAUGGACGACAUAGUAGUCCCCUGCAUUUUGCAGCGGGAUAUAAUCGAAUUGCUGUUGUUGAAUAUCUCCUUGAAAACGGUGCAGAUGUCAGUAAGGCUGAUAAAGGGGGUCUUUUUCCACUUCAUAAUGCAGCUAGUUACGGUCAUUAUGAGGUUACAGAACUCUUGAUCAAAUAUGGAGCGGAUGUAAAUGUUGCAGAUUUAUGGAAGUUCACUCCUUUACACGAAGCGGCAGCAAAAGGCAAAUAUGAUAUUGUUAAGCUUUUAUUGAAGCAUGGAGCUGAUCCAACAAAAAAAAAUCGAGACUUAGCAACACCAUUAGAUUUAGUUAAAGGCGAUCAAGAUGUUGCUGAUUUACUAAGAGGUAACGCUGCUCUACUAGAAGCAGCUAAAAAAGGUAAUCUCCUUCGUGUUCAACGUCUAACUACUCUUGAAAAUAUAAAUUGCAGAGAUGCACAAGGUCGAAAUUCAACUCCCUUGCAUCUUGCUGCUGGAUAUAAUAACUUAGAAGUGGCAGAGUUUUUACUUGAACAAGGAGCUGAUGUCAAUGCACAAGAUAAAGGUGGCCUAAUUCCACUGCACAAUGCUUCCAGUUAUGGUCAUUUGGAAAUAGCUGCCCUUCUAAUAAAGCAUAACACUCUCGUUAAUGCAACGGAUAAAUGGGGAUUUAGUCCAUUGCAUGAGGCAUCGCAGAAAGCAAGAACACAACUAUGCGCAUUAUUGUUGGCUCAUGGAGCAGAUCCUUUUUUGAAGAAUCAAGAGGGCCAAACAAGCUUAGAUUUAGCCACUGCUGAAGACGUAAAAUGUUUAUUACAAGAUGCUAUGUUAGCAUCUCAACACAAUUUUGUUAGUAGGAAAAUAACUGCGUUAGAUAUGAAUAGUUGCCCAAACACCGAAGUGGUUUUACUACCAUCAGGAGCAUCGAUGGCACUACCAAUUCCCAUUCCAGCGUUACCAUUACGUUCCUGUUUAAGUCCUGCACAAGGUGCAGAAACCCGUUACGAUUCUUUAGAUGACGAAAAAGUGAAUCAUGACAUCAUGAGUCCCACUUUAGCAUCUUUUUUAACUAGUCUACAUUUGGAUCAAUUAAUUGAAAUGUUUGAAAGAGAGCAAAUUACAUUGGAAAUUUUAGCCGAAAUGGGUCAUGACGAACUUAAACAAGUAGGGGUGACAGCAUAUGGUUUUCGACAUAAAAUAUUAAAAGGAAUAGCAACUUUACGAAGCACGACGGCUUUUGGUUUAUCCUUAAAUCCUGGUACUCUAUUGGUUGAUCUUUUGCCCGACGAUAAAGAAUUAAUAGCAAUAGAAGAAGAAAUGCAAGCAACAAUUAGAGAGCAUCGUGAUGGACAAACAGGAGGAUACUACACAAGAUAUAAUAUCGUCAGGGUGCAAAAAGUACAAAAUAGAAAACUUUGGGAGCGUUAUAUCCAUAGACGCCAAGAAAUUUCAGAAGACAAUGGAAAUCAAGCUUGUGAACGAAUGCUUUUUCACGGGAGUCCUUUUAUCAAUGCUAUUGUUCAAAAAGGUUUUGAUGAAAGGCAUGCAUAUAUUGGUGGCAUGUUCGGAGCUGGGAUAUAUUUUGCCGAACAUUCUAGCAAAAGCAAUCAAUAUGUUUAUGGAAUCAUGAACGGUAUUGGGUGUCCUUUGCAUAAAGAUAAAUCAUGCUAUCAAUGUCACAGGCAACUACUUUUGUGUAGAGUAGCAUUAGGAAAGUCAUUUUUACAAUUUUCAGCAAUGAAAAUGGCACACGCUCCUCCCGGACAUCAUUCAGUUAUUGGACGGCCGUCACAAGGUGGACUACAUUUUCCAGAAUAUGUUGUUUAUCGUGGUGAACAAGCUUAUCCAGAAUAUCUCAUAACGUAUCAGAUUGUAAAGCCAGAUACUGGAUGUGAUGAAGAUGAUACAAGAUGAUUUGAGAAUGACAAAAAAAAUAUGAAAUAAUUUUAAAAAACAAAUGAAAAAUGAUAAAUAUUCAAAAGCAUCUGUUAUUUUGACAGAAUUAGGAAAGAAGAUAAGCGACCUUAUUGUAAAUACUCCCUGAAUUUCCGUUGGUCAAAUUCGUGAGGCAAACCACACUUUUAAAGAUUUAAAUGAUCAUGUUGUCAGAUUUUCGAAAAAAGCUAGAUUUGUACAAUGCAUAAACAUUAUAUUAAAAGUAAAUCAAACUUAAAUGAUAACGCAGACAAAACAUAUACUAUUACAUAUCAACUGUAACAACUUUUAUACCUACUAUAUUUCUAGUAAAAUACAGAAAGAAAAUUUCCAAACGUAUGUAGAUGAAAAUAUUAGAAGGUUUCCAUUCUAAAAAAUAUAAGAAUCUUAUAAGAAUCAAAAUCUGAUUUUUUUUUGUUCAUCCAAAAAUAAGCAAAAAUAAUUAAAUUAAUAUCCAAGCAGAAAGUUUCAACCAUAUGUUUCAUGGUAAAAGUUGAUGGACUCAAGACGAUAAACAAAAAUUUGAACAAAAAUUUUGUAAUAAUAAAGCUUCGAAUGAAAUUUCGACCAUUUUUUCGCUAAGCGUAUUUUUCAUAUAUGUAUUUUGCGAUAAAAAAUUUGUAAAAUUAUGUAUAAUAAAAUUAAGUACAAAAAA